UACGUAGGGUGCAAGCGUUAAUCGGAAUUACUGGGCGUAAAGCGUGCGCAGGCGGUUUUGUAAGUCUGUCGUGAAAUCCCCGGGCUUAACCUGGGAAUGGCGAUGGAGACUGCAAGGCUGGAAUCUGGCAGAGGGGGGUAGAAUUCCACGUGUAGCAGUGAAAUGCGUAGAUAUGUGGAGGAACACCGAUGGCGAAGGCAGCCCCCUGGGUCAAAACUGACGCUCAUGCACGAAAGCGUGGGGAGCAAACAGG
rnacentral:rRNA from 1 species